AGUGAACGCUGGCGGUAGGCCUAACACAUGCAAGUCGAACGGCAGCACAGUAAGAGCUUGCUCUUACGGGUGGCGAGUGGCGGACGGGUGAGGAAUACAUCGGAAUCUACUUUUUCGUGGGGGAUAACGUAGGGAAACUUACGCUAAUACCGCAUACGACCUACGGGUGAAAGCAGGGGAUCUUCGGACCUUGCGCGAUUGAAUGAGCCGAUGUCGGAUUAGCUAGUUGGCGGGGUAAAGGCCCACCAAGGCGACGAUCCGUAGCUGGUCUGAGAGGAUGAUCAGCCACAAUGGAACUGAGACACGGUCCAGACUCCUACGGGAGGCAGCAGUGGGGAAUAUUGGACCAUGGGCGCAAGCCUGAUCCAGCCAUACCGCGUGGGUGAAGAAGGCCUUCGGGUUGUAAAGCCCUUUUGUUGGGAAAGAAAAGCAGCAGGUUAAUACCCCGCUGUUCUGGCGGUACCCAAAGAAUAAGCACCGGCUAACUUCGUG
rnacentral:rRNA from 1 species